GCAGAGUAGAAGCAUAUGUGUCUUUAGUGCCGAAGGGACGGGGAGUUGUCCUUCGGACAAAAGGGUUAUUCCGCAGUAUGUGCUUCGCAUCCCGCUGC
rnacentral:ncRNA from 1 species